rnacentral:rRNA from 1 species
GACGAACGCUGGCGGCGUGCCUAACACAUGCAAGUCGAACGGGGUAGCAAUACCCAGUGGCGGACGGGUGCGUAACACGUGAGGAACAUGUCUUUCGGUGGGGAUAGCCGGCCCAACGGCCGGGUAAUACCGCAUACGCUGACUUGAGCUCCUGCUCGAGUUCGGAAAGCAGCAAUGCGCCGAUUGAGUGCCUCGCGGCCUAUCAGCUAGUUGGUGAGGUAAUGGCUCACCAAGGCGACGACGGGUAGCUGGUCUGAGAGGAUGGCCAGCCACAUUGGGACUGAGACACGGCCCAGACUCCUACGGGAGGCAGCAGUGGGGAAUAUUGCGCAAUGGGCGAAAGCCUGACGCAGCGACGCCGCGUGUGGGAUGACGGCCUUCGGGUUGUAAACCACUGUCGGGAGGGACGAAGCUCUGACGGUACCUCCAAAAGGAAGCACCGGCUAACUCUGUGCCAGCAGCCGCGGUAAUACAGAGGGUGCGAGCGUUGUCCGGAAUCACUGGGCGUAAAGGGCGCGUAGGCGGCCCGGUAAGCAGGGGGCUGAAAUCUUGCGGCUCAACCGCAAGGCUGCCUUCUGAACUGUCGGGCUGGAGCACGGUAGAGGCAGAUGGAAUUCCCGGUGUAGCGGUGG